AUACGAAGGGGGCAAGCGUUGUUCGGAAUUACUGGGCGUAAAGGGCGCGUAGGCGGAUCGUCACGUCAGAGGUGAAAGCCCUGGGCUCAACCCGGGAACUGCCUUUGAAACUGACGGUCUAGAGUCCGGAAGAGGAUGGCGGAAUUCCCAGUGUAGAGGUGAAAUUCGUAGAUAUUGGGAAGAACACCAGUGGCGAAGGCGGCCAUCUGGUCCGGUACUGACGCUGAGGCGCGAAAGCGUGGGGAGCAAACAGGAUUAGAUACCCGGGUAGUCC
rnacentral:rRNA from 1 species